GACGUAGGGCGCGAGCGUUGUCCGGAAUUAUUGGGCGUAAAGAGCUCGUAGGCGGUCUGUCGCGUCGGCUGUGAAAACUCGGGGCUCAACCCCGAGCCUGCAGUCGAUACGGGCAGACUAGAGUGCUGUAGGGGAGACUGGAAUUCCUGGUGUAGCGGUGAAAUGCGCAGAUAUCAGGAGGAACACCGGUGGCGAAGGCGGUUCUCUGGGCCUUACCUGACGCUGAGGAGCGAAAGCGUGGGGAGCAAACAGG
rnacentral:rRNA from 1 species